rnacentral:rRNA from 1 species
GUGCCAGCCGCCGCGGUAAUACGGAAGGUCCGGGCGUUAUCCGGAUUUAUUGGGUUUAAAGGGAGCGUAGGCCGCCUUAUAAGCGAGCAGUGAAAUGUAGAGGCCCAACCUCUGAAUUGCUGUUCGAACUGUAGGGCUUGAGUACGCACGAGGUAGGCGGAAUUUGUGGUGUAGCGGUGAAAUGCUUAGAUAUCACAAAGAACCCCGAUUGCGAAGGCAGCUUACCGGAGCGCAACUGACGCUGAAGCUCGAAAGUGCGGGUAUCGAACAGGAUUAGAUACCCUGGUAGUCCGCACGGUAAACGAUGGAUGCCCGCUGUUGGCCCUUGUGGUCAGCGGCCAAGCGAAAGCGUUAAGCAUCCCACCUGGGGAGUACGCCGGCAACGGUGAAACUCAAAUGAAUUGACGG